rnacentral:rRNA from 1 species
UGAGGGGAGGAAUGUGAACCUGAAACCAUGUGCUUACAAGCUGUCGGAGUACUAUGCCCUUCGGGGAAUGUAUGACGGCGUGCCUUUUGCAUAAUGAUCCGGCGAGUUACCGCCAGCGGCUUGGUUAAGGCCUUACGGGCUGAAGCCAUAGGGAAACCGAGUCUGAAUAGGGCGACAAUUGGUCGCUGGUGGUAGACCCGAAACUGCGUGAACUACCCAUGGGCAGGAUGAAGCGCGGGUUAAACUGCGUGGAGGUCCGAACUCGUCUGGGUUGAAAACCGGUGGGAUGACCUGUGGGGAGGAGUGAAAGUUUAAUCAAACGCAGAGAUAGCUGGUUCUCACCGAAAUAUAUUGAGGUAUAGCCUCGAGGAACUACAUUGUGGGGGUAGAGAGACUGAAUUGGCGUGGGGGUCAUUUUCGACUACCCAGCCGAGCCAAACUCCGAAUACCAUAUUGACUACCUCGGGAGAUAGACUGCGAGGGAUAAGCUUCGUAGUCGAGAGGGAAACAACCCAGACCAACAGCUAAGGCCCCAAAUUGAUACUUAGUCACUAAGGAAGUGACGUUACUGUGAUAGCCAGGAUGUUGGCUUAGAAGCAGCCACCAUUUAAAAAGUGCGUAACAGCUUACUGGUCGAGUAAUGUCGCGCCGAUAAUGAAUGGGAGUAAGUAUCAAGCCGAAGCUUUGGAAUCGUAAGAUUGGUAGGUGAGCGCUGUAUAGCAGAUAUAAGUGACACGGUAACGAGUCAUGCCGGGCUAUACAGGUGAUUAUGCCGGAAUGAGUAACGAUAAUGCAGGUGAGAAUCCUGCACGCCGAAAACCUAAGGUUUCCUGGGGAAGGGAAAUCCGCCCAGGGUUGGCCGGUACCUUAGUCGAGGCCGAAAGGCGUAGACGAUGGAUAGCAUGUCAAUAUUCCUGCGCUGCUAACGUGAACUGAUGGAGGGACGGCGUCUCGAAAGUGAGCGGUACGACUAGAAAUGUCCGUGGAGUACAGCAAGGUGAGGAAUAGGUAAAUCCGUCCUCGUAAGCCAAGUUGUAGGCCCGAGAGCGUUUAUGUUCUCGAAGUCACUGGAGGGACGUCCAAGAAAAUCUUCUAAGGGUUAAAGCGUUAGUAACCGUACUAAAACUGAUAUAGGUAGGCGAGACGAGUAGUCUCAGGCGCUCGGGAGAACGGUGGUUAAGGAACUCUGCAAAUUCACCCCGUAACUUCGGGAUAAGGGGUGCCAGCGUAAGCUGGCCACAGAAAAUCGGCUCUAGCAACUGUUUAUCAAAAACACAGGACUCUGCCAACUCGUAAGAGGAUGUAUAGAGUCUGACGCCUGCCCGGUGCCAGAAGGUUAAGGAAGAGGGUUAGUCGCAAGACGAAGCUCGCAACCGAAGCCCUGGUAAACGGCGGCCGUAACUAUGUCGGUCCUAAGGUAGCGAAGUUCCUUGUCGGGUAAGUUCCGACCUGUAUGAAUGGCGUAAAG